UAGGGCGCUUAGUCAGGGGGAGUAGACGCGAAACUUUGUGAUCUACCCAUGAGCAGGUUGAAGUUGUGGUAACACACAAUGGAGGACCGAACCAGUUUACGUUGAAAAGUAUUUGGAUGACUUGUGGGUAGGGGUGAAAGGCCAAUCAAACUGAGAAAUAGCUCGUACUCCCCGAAAUGUUUUUAGGAACAGCCUCGGACGUAUUCUGCUGCAGGUAAAGCUACCGAUAGGACUAGGGGGAGUCAAAUCCUACCAAAUCCUGACGAACUCUGAAUGGCAGCAGAUCAUUAUCCGGGAGUGAGGGCUGGGGUGCUAAGGUCCCAGUCCGAGAGGGAAAGAACCCAGACCAUCAGCUAAGGUCCCCAAAUCUAUACUAAGUUGAACUAAGGAGGUCCGAUUGCAGAGACAGCCAGGAUGUUAGCUUGGAAGCAGCUAUUCAUUUAAAGAGUGCGUAACAGCUCACUGGUCGAGCGAGGCGGGCAUCGAUAAUAAACGGGCAUCAAGUAUAGUACCGAAGCUAUGGAUUGUAUAGAAGACUAUACACUGGUAGGGGAGCAUUCUGUAUGCAGCGAAGGUGUAGCGACAAGCUAUGUUGGAGCGUACAGAAAAGCAAAUGUAGGCAUAAGUAACGAUAAUGUGGGCGAGAAACCCACACGCCGAAAGACUAAGGUUUCCUCAGCUAUGCUAAUCAACUGAGGGUUAGUCGGGGGCUAAGGGUCUAGCGAAAGCGACAAUCUAAUGCACAUCAGGUUAAUAUUCCUGAACUUAUAUAAUGGGAAACAAGCUGACGGAUUGACGUGGUUUGCAGGUACUGACGGAAUAGUGCCUCUGAGAAGAAGUCGCAAGACAGAAACGAGCAAGCGAAGACGAUUCCAAGAAAAGGUUUGAAUCUGACUGUUAUAUAACCCGUACCGUAAACCGACACAGGUGGUCGGGAAGAGAAUUCUAAGGCGCUCGAGUGAAUCACGGUUAAGGAACUCGGCAAAUUGACCCUGUAACUUCGGGAGAAGGGGGGCCUACUCGCAAGAGAGGUCGCAGAGAAAUGGCCCAGGCGACUGUUUAACAAAAACACAUGGCUAUGCUAAAUCGAAAGGUGACGUAUAUGGCCUGACACCUGCCCGGUGCUGGAAGGUUAAGAGGGGAUGUUAGCGCAAGCGACGCAUUGAAUUGAAGCCCCAGUAAACGGCGGCCGUAACUAUAACGGUCCUAAGGUAGCGAAAUUCCUUGUCGGGUAAGUUCCGACCUGCACGAAUGGUGUAACGAUCUGGGCACUGUCUCAACCGUGAGCUCGGUGAAAUUGAAGUAUCGGUGAAGAUGCCGAUUACCCGCAAUGGGACGAAAAGACCCCGUGAACCUUUACUAUAACUUCACAUUGUGCUUGAAUAUAAGAUGUGUAGGAUAGGUGGGAGACGUUGAAGUGUGCACGCUAGUGUGUAUGGAGUCGCCGUUGAAAUACCACCCUUUUUAUAUUUAGGUCCUAACUCGUUUGAAGAAUGAGGACAGUGUGUGGCGGGUAGUUUGACUGGGGUGGUCGCCUCCGAAAGAGUAACGGAGGCUUGCAAAGGUACCCUCAGUGCCGUUGGUAACGGUACGUAGAGCAUAUUAGUAGAAGGGUGCUUGACUGAGAGACUGACGGGUCGAUCAGGGUCGAAAGACGGCUAAAGUGAUCCGGUGUUUCCGCAUGGAAGGGACAUCGACAAAAAGAAAAAGUACUCUGCGUUUGGCCGCUCGU
rnacentral:rRNA from 1 species